UAGUAGGGUUAAUGGUUAAACCAAAAUAUAAAUAUAAAUAGAGGGUUUUCUAGUAAUAGGUUAAUAAAGUGUCAUUUAUUUCUUCAUGUUUUUCCCCAAAGGCGGGAAAUCCUUUUCACAGCGGCACAGACGCGUCUCCGUCGUUCUCGUCCUCUCUACAAUAAGUUCCCGAGAUGACUGUGAAGAACUCCAUUCCUUGAGUUUUGCUAUUUGGGUAAUUUCUUGGUAUUUUUUUGCGUUUUAAUCGAAAGAUAUAUGGAAACGUCAACCAGAAAACCUAAGAUUUGUGGCUUCCACCCACUUAGUAAAGGGAUUGAUAGAAUUAGCUCAUUGCCAGAUGAUAUCCUGCACAAAAUUCUUUCAUCUCUCUUUAUUUUUGAUGUGGUUCAGUUGAGUUUAUUGUCUAAAAGAUGGAAAUAUAUGUGGACUACUAUGCCUUACUUGCACUUUGAUCUUGAUCGAUUUUAUCCACAACGGAUCAAUCGGCCUUGUGACUCGGCAAUGGUUGAGAAAUUCAAGGACUUUAUCAAUUGGGUCUUAAUUUCCCAAAGCGCCACUAAACUUGUCCGGUUUCUUCUCUGUUGUAACAAUAUCUUUGGUAAGUUUGCUAUUUUGCGGUGGAUUCAUGUGACAACAAGGCGAAAGGUUCAAGAGCUUGUAUUAAGUUUUAAUCUUGGUGAGCCAUUUGAGUUACCAUUGUCUUGCAACUUGUGAAUCUUUGCAAAUCUUAAAACUACACUUGUCCGGGAACAUACUUAAACUGCCUAAUCAUUUGGGAUUUCAUCAGCUGAAAUUGCUUCAUCUUGAGGAGGUCGAGUUGUCAGACGAGCAUUUGACAAGUUGCUUGUUCUCAAAAUGUCAUCUCCUUGAAAGGUUGAUCUUAGAGGAAUGUAGUUUAGGAGCUAUGACUCUACUUGAUAUUGCUUCAACAUCUCUUAUUUAUUUUACUUUAGUAGAUGGCAAUAAUUAUGUGGAGAGUUACUGCAAUUGUGAAGUCAGAAUUUGUUGCCCCAAUCUCAAGUUCUUAAAGUAUAAAGCUCCAAUGCCAAAGGAUAUAAUCUUCGAGAAUCUCUUUUCAAUAGAAGACGUUCGCAUCUUCUUUAUUGAUAUGGACGGUUCACGUGAAGAAAAUGCCAUAUUUGUGCAUAAGCUGAUCAAGGAGGUUCCUUCUACAUCAGUUUUGAAGCUAUGCAAGCCGACUAUUUGGGGUCUUUAUGAAGCGGUUCGCAAAGUAAGACUCGAUCCAAUCUCUUUUAUAAGCUGAAGACCUUAAAGCUGGAUGUGGUUGUUGAUGAAGAUUUCAUGCAAGUUAUGAUAGUAUUACUCAAGUAUUCUCCUAAUCUGGAGGUUCUUAAAUUGUGGUCUGAUGAGAAUGGAGACUGGAUUGAGAAUUUGCAGAUGCAUGAUCCUGAUGAAAUCAUUGUGUGCUUGGAAUCUCAUCUAAAGUCAAUUGAGUUGAUUGGUUUCAAAGAUGACAAAAACGAGAUAGAACUACUAAGGUUUUUUCUGAAGAAUGCGCGGGUAUUGGAAAAACUGACGAUUGUUUGGGCCAGCUAUGCUGAUAGAUCAGAAGAGACAUCUACGGAGGUCUUGAAGUUUCCUAGAACUUCUUCACACGUCGUUGUGAAAUUUGUCGAUGCCAAGCCCUGGCCCAAGCCAAGAACUCGGCACUGGUACAACAGGUAUUACAAAUGACAGGACUUGGAAGAGGAUUCAUUGUUGGAUGUACUCUUGUUGAGAUUUUAAUCCAAGUCAGAACCAGACUGUAUACAGAAACUUCAAGGGGUGUUUUGCUUUUCAUGUUUGAACUGCUAUGCAGGAGUAGUAACUACUGAGUCAGAACUCAAUACUCGAUUAUCUUUAUGAGAUGUGGUAUCUAACUUCAAAGUCCAAUGCAGUCUUGAAUUUCGACCUGAAUUGAAGGCCAAAACUGCUUAGCCGAGCUGGUUCUAGUCAAGUGUAUUUUUAAGCCGUAGUGUUUUGAUUCAUCUUCAUCACUUUCAGGUUCUCUACCCAAGAUGCACUUACUGUAUGUAUUUCAUCCACUAAUAUCACAGAACACAGUCUGGACCUGAGGCUCUAUGCCUUUAUUGGACUAUCUUGACCAACUUUUUGCCUAGCCGGUUACCCCCCGGAUGAUUGAGCUCACCAAUUCUAAUUACUAGUUGGACAAAUUACCACUCUUUUUAUAAAUUUUUCUCUAUAGUUUAGUAAGUGGUUCAGCUUAAGAAUUUGUCUAUCCUGUCGAACUCCAUGAGUUGGCACACUAUAUUUCGAGUCUAAGUUUUAGCUAUGCUUGGGCCUAAAAUGUUCUAAUUUAGGCUAUGACGUGCCCCUCCACCCCAUAACAUGAAGA